UUCCGUGUCCUGUGUGCAGUGGAUGUACACAAAAGUUUUUCUUUAUAGCUACCUUUUAGAGUUUAAACAUUGUUAUUUCUCUUCAGUGUUGCCCUUUCCAGGUUAAGCAGCUGUUUUUCAAUUUAUACUUUGAAGUCAGACAUCUGUACAUCAUUGAGCACUGCCUUGGACUUCCCGUAGACUCUCACCAGUUGUACUACACCCUUCUUGAAAAGCAGUACAUCAUCUGGAGGGUUCAACAGCUAAUCCGUGCAAAUGUAGUGCUGCAAAAAUAAAGCUUGGAUGUACUGACUCAAGCGUGAUGUGUGACGAGGAAUCACUGGGCCUUUUAAUUAGUGAGAAACAGUACAUAACAACGAGGUGGCAGAAAUAGGACAUGAGGCUGGCCUACUGGUCUUUAAGCCUGCAGUGCAGCUCUGUGGGCAUUGGAUGACUAAAGAAAAGCAUGAGGCAUGGGAGAGAACUGCUGCUGGACCUUAGUGGAAGAUGGCAAAUGAUCUGGAGAGAGGUUUUCAAAGUCAGGAAUUAAAGUCAGGUGCCCAGUUCCAGAUUGCCUGUGAAAUCACUGUGUACUUCCCUUGCUUGUGUAACUUUGUGUUGUGUAUUGUCUAGCAGCUUUUAUUUCAAAGUUAACAAGGUUACGCUUGUGUGAUAGGUGAUGUAAUGAUCUCGUAAUAAUAGGCAAAAUCCAAGUCAUGGAAAAUGUCAGCAUUUGAAACAGAGCCCUGAUAAAUUAUUAAUGCCUUAUACAACUGCUGCUUACCAUGCCUUCCAUGUUACAGCUGUCUUAAUCAUUGAUGCUGUUUCCUCAGACCUGGAGCUGUAAUAUCUGAUUUUUGUUUCAGGGUAUAUUAUGAAGUUGCUGAUGGUACUGCCUUAGCCCUUUGGCUAAAAAGAGUAGCAAAUAAUUUGUGGAUUAUCAGUAUGAGCAGCAGUCAAAGAGUGUUCUUUUCAAAUCAAUAGAGAAGAAAGCUGCACCACUUUGGGUUCCCUAAUACCAAAGGUCUUUCUCACAUUUAUUGAUCCUUUUGUAUUUUCCUCCUUGUUCAGGAUCAGUUGAUGACUGGAGUGAACUGUCACAUCUUUGAAAACUGCUUGUAACUGUGGAAAAGAGAUUAACACAUAUCUUUCUCAGUGACAACUAUUGAACUGAAAGUUUUAUUUUCACAUAUCCUGGAUAUCAGAAAUGAUAGGACUAAAUAAAUUGUCAGAGAUUUGAAUUUACAAGUCUACUGAAGCUUUUAAGUGCCUGAUUAAGAGCAGAAGAAACCCUACUGAAUUCAGGUGGGACCAUGUUUUUGUGAAGCAGCGCAUCUGGGUUUAGUACACUUAACACUAGUUUAGAAAUGCUGUAACUACGUGAUGUAAAACAGUGAAAUCACGUGACGUUGCUCUUCUAACUUGUUUUGUGAAUAAAUUUCAAAUGAGCAAUUUGUCCUAGCAGAUUCUGUGAUGGAUCAUGUACUGUCUCCUCCCCCAUAAAGCAUAAAAACUGUCAUAAAUAUCAGAUUGUAAGUUCUGGCUCAAUCAAAAGAAAUUUGCUUACACCUCAUCAAGAGGAAAUUUCAACUUCUAGGUGAUCCAGUAGUACACAGAUCUAAUAAUAAUGAAAAUCGAACUACAGCUUCUACACUUCGUUGGACUGAAUCCACAAUGUACAGUACCUCACAUGUGCAAGCUUAGCUGUAACCAACUAUUUUUGCCCCAUUGGGCAGACUUUGGUGUCGUGUAUCUGCUGGUCCUGCUCUGUCUGCCUCCACCACGGACGAAAUGGCUUUGCUCC